AUCGCCAUGUUUAUCUCGACUUCCAAUAUUGCCCCGCGGCGGCUUGGCAGUGCCGGCCCUGGCGGCGACGAUGCCUCAGCCUUGCGCGUCAUGCCCUCCGCAGGUGAUCCCGCAGACGAAGUGCGUGUCUCACUUGCCAGCCUUACGGCGCGGGCACAGAGGCUUGUAUCUGAAAGAGACGCUGAGCAGCUCCUGCGCAACGGGUUCGGCCUUUUCGAGGCCUCCCGCAAGGCCGCGGAGGAGGCGCGGCACCAGGCGAACAAGUGCCAGUCCACGAGCGAGGGCUACGCCCCGGCGACCCACGCGUCGGUGGAGUUGUUCAUGACUCAGCACCUCGGCUUCGACGCUCAAGCGCAGCAGCGUCUGCUGCGGCAGCUGCAGCGCCGCCACGCUCAGCUUGGUGUGGAUCUGGGCCCGAUCGACACCCUACCAGGCGCCGAGGCCUCGGGUUUCACGGGGAUCGCGGACGUGGACGCGGUGGUGGCAGAACUGAAGAAUGACAUCCUGCUCGACGUCCAACACGCCGUGCACCGACGUCAAACGAGCAUUGUGCGGGACCAGGUCGACACCCUGUUCAAGGCGGCCUGGCACCCCUUCUACGUGCGAGUCGCGGACGACUACGAGACGCUGUCCAUGGGGGCAAACGAGCUCGCCGCUGGCAAGGCAGGAGCCAGUGGUCGCCUGCGCUCCAUGGGCACCGCCGCCCCGUCCGCAAACGCAUUGGGCGGUGUCGGCAGCGACGCUAGCAGCUCCCUGGUGGACAUACUCAAUAGCGGCUCUUCGUUGGCCAUGGAGUUGAGCCGCCGCGUCGCCGCCUUUGCCGCCAUUGUUGAGGAGUACGCACCGGCGCAGUGGAUCACGCACUUCACCGCAUACGUCACGGAGACGUCGCUGGACGGGGCGAAUGACUUGACGGUGCUGUGGGCAUCAAUUGUGCAGAUUAUCGAGCCAAUGCAGCGGCGCGGCUCUGAGGCCGACAUCCUGUCCUACGUAGCCAGCAGCCGUCGCGUGAUGGAGCGCAAGUCGCUGAGCCGGCUGCUCGAGCGGGUGUUGCGCAUGGACCCCAUGCGCUUCGAGGAGGUGGAGAACAUGAGUGCGUCGCACCUGAUGGACGUAAUCGCGCGCUCGUGCGGCGUGACGAACCACUGGAUGCACACCUUCGUCGCGAUGCGGGUGGGUCGCUACGAUGUGGCGCAGCUGGCGAUGGAUGCUAUUGGAAUUCAGUCUGUGCGCGAUGCAAUGGCGAAGAUGGCCGCGACACCUCCUGCCGAGCGCAACGCUAUGCCACCCGCGUCCGAUCUCCAACCUGUCUACGCCGAAGCAAAAACAAAAGAAGACCCAUAUCGACAGGCCGUGCUUAUGGUGCUGCUCGCUGGCCGCACGGGUGAAAGCCCGGCAGCUGUCCUGCGCACUAUACUGAGCCUCGCACAAAGGGUGACGGACUCUCUGGAAGACGCGCUAUGGCUAAGACUGUCAUGCAUUCGCGGUGUGGACAAGUCGGCGCAAGUUACACCGGUUCAGAGUCUCCGCACGCUCCAACGUGCAGUUCUCGAUGACAUGCAGGAUCUGGUGAGCAUCACGCAGGGAAACGCGUGCCGUCUGGCAUCGUUUCUCAUCCACGCCUUGCUUCCCUCGACAGGUCUGCGGCUGCUGUUAGAGAACAACAUCACCCAUGUGGACGGCUUUCACAUGGCGUUGUGCUUCAGCGCGCAGAACCUCUUGCAGGGUAGGCUGCACUCUGCGCUCGAGGCUCCAAUCGACAUUGCUCGUCACAUGAGCCGCUACUGCUCCGUGGUGUUGCUGGGCGUCGAUCGCCGCCUUCCUGCCACCGUGUUUGCAGGGACAGCGAUCUUCGCCUACUUCCACAAAAGUGGUUUGACGGAGGCGUUUGUGGAGUGCUGCUUGAAGGAUGUCAUUUGCGCACGGCUGCUGGGCUCGCGCAACGCCGUGGGUGGGCAAGAUGCACUGCUCCUGCGGGCCGGUGCUGGCGCGCUUUCAGAGGAGCUGCUAAAGGCACUCAUGCAAGUCGCGGAGGCUGCCUCGGCUCGCAGCGAGGUGGCGAAGGCUACUCACGUUCUACUGGCGGUCGCCUUCCUCGCAAGCCAGCUCUGCCGGCCAGAGCUGCAGCAACGGGCUCUACGGCGCGCAGUGCAGAUGAUGUCGCCAGCUCUCGCUCAGGUGCUGCAUCUUCCAUCGCGCAGCAGCGUCGUGUCGGACGUUCUGUCGCAGGCGGCGCAGCUGCAGCAGGCUGUGAACGCUGUCCCCCAUCAUCUGAAUGAGGAAGCCAUCAACGCGCAGGACUACCAAACAUUCGCACUGCUGUGCCGCAUGGCGGAUGUGUAUGCUUUUAAUGUUAGCGGCAACUUCAGCGACGCCGUGGAUGCGUUCCUGCAGCUGCCGUUUGUGCCGCCGCCAAACACCGCUGUGACGGGCGGGGUAGACGCCUAUGUUGAGGCGUACUGCAACGCACCUGGAAGCGUGCAGCUAGGCGCAAGUGCCGCGCUACGGAUUGCCAUCUCAGCAGCAGGGAAGCUUCUCCAGUACUACGCACGCAGCAGCACCGGCGGUGGCGCUGACGUCGAUGAGAAGAGACUCCGCCUGCUGCACCGAAUGCAAACCGUGCUCGAGUGGGCUCGUCAGUGCUGCGCACUGACCAGUGUCGCAUACCCGGCUGUCGCAGAGGAAUUCGAACGGGUUUAUAUGUGCUAAGAAGGUGCGCGGGGGUAUUUGGUGCGCGCACAUCGCGUUUUCCCUCUCCCUGCUCUUGUCCCUUUUUCAUUGCGCUGUACCGCUUCUCACGCACGCCCCUUUGUACGGCAGUGUUUCUCUUUCCCUUUGUGUGUGCGUGUAUCUUUCCUGCACCAGUCGUUAUGAUCCGUCAUCUGCACGAGUAUGCGAUGGGACAAGGCUGGCGCGCGCCCUGUCUGUGUGAUGUGUGAUUCGCGUGUAUGUUGUAUCCGUCCCCCUCCCCCCUCCUCUCUGUGAGUGUAUGUUGUUUUGGACUCAUCGUGUACGGGGCAUCAGAGGAUCGCUGCCGGGGAGGUGCGGAAGUUGGGAUACCGAGCCGAAAAGGGGUUAAGACGAGUACUUAUAUAUAUAUAUAUAGAUGUGUAAGGUUGUUUUUGCACAUCUGCAUCAUUGUAUGAGGAAUGCAGAGGGCGGCGUUGACGCCCUUUCUACGCUUCGCCACGGUGCCUCUUGGCUAAUCCUGCAUGGGAGAGUGCAAUCAGGCCCGUUUCUAUGUGCGUGCAUGCGUAGAAGGGUGUCCGUGUGCACAGGUGUGUGUGUGUGUGUGUGUGUGUGUGUUUGCGUAAAGACUUUAGACAGAGACAUCCCCUCGUGUGAGGGCUGUCGUUCUAAGAUGCAAGUCAAACCAAAAGAAAGGAGAAC
rnacentral:misc_RNA from 1 species